AAAUAUGACCUUUUUAGACAUUUCCUUCAUUUUAGUUUUCCUUCAGACCAGAACAUUCUCAUCGCUUCCCUCUCCCUCUCCCUCUCUCACAAUUUUAGGAUUCUCUCACUGGACCAUUCAAGAGCUCCAGCUCCUUGUUCGCUAGAAGACUAUUGCUCGAGCCCUAUUACUUCAAAGUUGAAUGCUCAGUGACAGUCCCAGUGAUUGCUCAGGGAAUCAAUGCCGGAGAUAUUAAUAAGUUUGAAGACGUUGGGAUCUACACCUGCAAUGGCUUGAUGAUGCAUAUGAAGAAGAACUUGACUGGAAUCAAAGGUUUAUCUGAGGCUAAAAUUGAUAAGAUAUGUGAAGCUGCUGAAAACCAUUUCAGCUAAGAGAUUUUAUAUCUCAUAUGUGUUCCUUGAUUGUAAGCAUUUAUGUUGCUGAAAUGUUCAGAGACAAAUUCAACUUGUUAUUCAUAGUUUGAGAGAGGCUCUAGAUGGCGCUGACAGGUUCCAGAAUACCCAUCAAAGGCAACAAUUUCAAUCUGCAGAAUUUAGUAUAGAUCAGGUUGUAUUCAUUCUAGAGUCGCAAAGGACAUACUUCUUUUGGAUGAUAUGGCAGCAGAGGAAACAUUAGAGGUGGCCAUUGCCGCAGAUCAAGUGUGAGUUUGAUUCUUGUUAGAUGAUGUCUACGGCCAGUGCUAUCGUGAGGUUUUUGCAUAGGUUACGUUGUAGGUUUGUCAUUACUAUUAUGAGUGAAUGAGUUGGAGGCUGUGUACAAGUUAAUUGUAGAUUUGGCAGCCCUAUUAUUUGUUUCUUUAAUACUCUAUAGUGUUUCUUUAAUACUCUAUAGAGUUUGUAUUUGGAAUUGAUUAUUAUUGGUAUAGUUUUCAAUGAAAUGGUUCUUUCUUUCAA